rnacentral:tRNA from 2 species
GGGCCAUUAGCUCAGCGGUUAGAGCAGAGGACUCAUAAUCCUUUGGUCCUAAGUUCAAAUCUUAGAUGGCCCA